GAUGAGUUCCAUUCUUCUUUGAAUUACUGGCAAACUUUUGCUGCAUUUUUCUAGCACACAGGCUCACAUUGGGGCGGUUCGUUGACCACUUCAAAAAAAUAGUAGUACUGCAGAAAAAUGACAAAACCAAGCAACAUUGAACACAUCAGCCAGAUUGACACAAGCUGACAGCAAUCAAGGACAACGAGGAUCUUUUGUCUCAGCGUGUGGGAAUUUGCCAUGGAAAAGAAACCAAUUAUUACUUCAUUUAUGUUAUAUUUUGUUCAAGAGGAGGAACCAAGAAAAAAUAAAAAUAAAUGCUGGGGAGUAGAAAAAGGCAGUGUCUAGAGAUAAAAGACAACAUGAAGGAGGUAAUGCUGCAGUCAACUUUGCAGCGCCAUGAAGGCACAUCAUCACACAGAGUGGCUCGCUGAAGUUUUCCUGCGCCGUCGCUGGUGAUGCAGCCCGACACUCAUCUGCAGAAUCCCUUCCAUUUGCUGUCAACAUAGAAAAGGCGACCCACCACCGUGCAGUGCUAAAAGUGCUUUCUGGGCAAAAGAUCACAGUGACUUGGCGCUCCUAUUUGAAAAGGUCAUCAGUCUACUGCCUGAUGCAGUGGAGAGAAACGUGCACUCUGCUGCUUCCAGGAUGCUCAGGCAGCCAGACUGAGAGCAUAUUGUAGCAGGAACAGCCUCGUGUACCCUGCCGGCUGCUGUGCAGGAACAUGCCUUGACUUGUUCCAGUGGCCAAGUGCAGCACCGACAGAAACACAAGUGGCUUUUUUGGUCAAAGCCUGCAGAGCACCUCUGGACACAGACUGACUGGUACCAAACGUGGACAGGGGAACUGCUUUACUGCCUUGGGUCCAAGUCAGACCGGCAAAGUGCGAGGGUUCAAGAUGCCACACAUGAAGCGGAGUGUGGUAGUGAGGACCAGCAGGCGGGAGGAGGCAUGCGGCUGCUGUGGGUGUUUCUCUGGCAGUGUCUUAGCUGGUUGUUGUAAGGAGUGAGAACGAAGCAAUCAGCAAGUAUACUGCCGCAGAAAUUCUUUGCAAUAAGUCCAUCGGCACCGACGUUGACUAUUGGAGGUGAAAACCUUAAGCGGGCUUGUAUUAACCAUCCAACUACAGAGUAUGUUGUCACGUGAAGAAAGUCGAAAUAAAACAUUCGAUUAAUAGUGAGCUGAAUAGUUCCGAUUCAAAAAUCUGUUGGAUAAGGCCUCAUGUUGUAGUUUCUAAAAAAAGUCGUCUGCUGCCAUCUGGUGGCUAAGACAAACUCCCACCAUGCAACAAAAGUAUUGCAGCUAUUUGCAGUUGAUCUCCCUGAUUUGAAUUUUCCAAAUAAAUGCAUGUUAAUUCAGUUGUAGCAUGUUAUGUUAAUUUGCUGAUUUUUGACGAUUUACUGAGCAGUCUCAACUAUAAAGAGAAAAGAGAAAAAAAAAAUGACUGUCCAUUUCUGUGGUUGUAGUUUGCAGUGGUGUCUAACUGCACUGUGUCAUAAGAAGCUGGUUAUAUGUUACAUGAGAGUAAAAAUUCGGAAAAGCUCUCAGUAUGAUUCAAUAGCGUUGUACACCACUGCAAACUGCAACCACAAUAUCAACACCUCACUGUCAAUCUCAAUUGAGCAUUAUUAUCUUUGUAAAGGCAGAUUAUAUGAUACAGCUCUUAUUAAUGGUGCAAGUGGUCAUGUAUUGUGGCUGGCUGGUGUAUCUUCACAGUAAAUCCCUUGUGAAUCAUGUGUGGUUAUGUAUUUUAUUAUAAUCGCAGAAUUAAAUGAAUAAAAUGUAAUGGAAACAUUUCACGUCAGCUGCUUUGCUUGUUUUAACUUGCAUGUAAAAUGACUGUGUAAUACACUUUGUACUGUACAAAGAACUGUUUUUGACAAACAUGAUGCAGAUGAGAGAAUAAUAGGCCUUUAUUUUUAGCAACAUUGUCACAAUUAUCAUGAAGACUGAGUGGUUUACAUAUAAUUGUGAUAGUUGGCCUGGAGCAACUCUCCUACGACGAGGCAGAUGUUUUCCUCCGCAAAGAAAAGCAAUGAGCCACUGCAGUGCUGCAAACUCAAGGGAGUAUCAGUCUACUUGGGCUGCAGCAAUACCAGAAUCCCCUCCCCUCCCCUCCCAAAAAGCCACUACGUACCGUUACGUGCUACGGCACCCUGUUUGGGUAUCACUGAUCUAAAUAAGAGUUUUUAAAACGGCAAAGUUUUGUCAAAAACCGCCAUUGUAUGAAGACCCCCUGGAUGUUUGACUUUUUGAUGGUGGG